GACGAACGCUGGCGGCGUGCUUAACACAUGCAAGUCGAACGGAAAGGCCCUGCUUUUGUGGGGUGCUCGAGUGGCGAACGGGUGAGUAACACGUGAGUAACCUGCCCUUGACUUUGGGAUAACUUCAGGAAACUGGGGCUAAUACCGGAUAGGAGCUCCUGCUGCAUGGUGGGGGUUGGAAAGUUUCGGCGGUUGGGGAUGGACUCGCGGCUUAUCAGCUUGUUGGUGGGGUAGUGGCUUACCAAGGCUUUGACGGGUAGCCGGCCUGAGAGGGUGACCGGCCACAUUGGGACUGAGAUACGGCCCAGACUCCUACGGGGGGCAGCAGUGGGGAAUAUUGCACAAUGGGCGGAAGCCUGAUGCAGCAACGCCGCGUGCGGGAUGACGGCCUUCGGGUUGUAAACCGCUUUCGCCUGUGACGAAGCGUGAGUGACGGUAAUGGGUAAAGAAGCACCGGCUAACUACGUGCCAGCAGCCGCGGUGAUACGUAGGGUGCGAGCGUUGUCCGGAUUUAUUGGGCGUAAAGGGCUCGUAGGUGGUUGAUCGCGUCGGAAGUGUAAUCUUGGGGCUUAACCCUGAGCGUGCUUUCGAUACGGGUUGACUUGAGGAAGGUAGGGGAGAAUGGAAUUCCUGGUGGAGCGGUGGAAUGCGCAGAUAUCAGGAGGAACACCAGUGGCGAAGGCGGUUCUCUGGGCCUUUCCUGACGCUGAGGAGCGAAAGCGUGGGGAGCGAACAGGCUUAGAUACCCUGGUAGUCCACGCUGUAAACGGUGGGUACUAGGUGUGGGGUCCAUUCCACGGGUUCCGUGCCGUAGCUAACGCUUUAAGUACCCCGCCUGGGGAGUACGGCCGCAAGGCUAAAACUCAAAGGAAUUGACGGGGCCCCGCACAAGCGGCGGAGCAUGCGGAUUAAUUCGAUGCAACGCGUAGAACCUUACCUGGGUUUGACAUGGAUCGGGAGUGCUCAGAGAUGGGUGUGCCUCUUUUGGGGUCGGUUCACAGGUGGUGCAUGCCUGUCGUCAGCUCGUGUCGUGAGAUGUUGGGUUAAGUCCCGCAACGAGCGCAACCCUUGUUCACUGUUGCCAGCACGUUAUGGUGGGGACUCAGUGGAGACCGCCGGGGUCAACUCGGAGGAAGGUGGGGAUGACGUCAAGUCCUCAUGCCCCUUAUGUCCAGGGCUUCACGCAUGCUACAAUGGCUGGUACAGAGAGUGGCGAGCCUGUGAGGGUGAGCGAAUCUCGGAAAGCCGGUCUCAGUUCGGAUUGGGGUCUGCAACUCGACCUCAUGAAGUCGGAGUCGCUAGUAAUCGCAGAUCAGCAACGCUGCGGUGAAUACGUUCCCGGG
rnacentral:rRNA from 1 species